rnacentral:tRNA from 1 species
AAUAAAGUAAGCUAAAUUAAGCUAUUGGGUUCAUACCCCAAAUAUGAUUACAAAAUCCUUUAUUA